ACCGGAGUUUUACAAUGAUUAGGAACCGUUAAUUUAAUAAGAUACCGAUCAUAUUUGACCUAAUUUAUUAGCAUUGUUGCGAUAGUGUAUCGCGCAGGCCGUACAGUGUACAAUACAACAAACAUUUUGAACGCUCUGUACAAGUGACGAGCUGAAAACGCAAGAUAAGAGAAGAAAUCAACCGGUUACAAAUUGGUAGUUGGUAGUUUCAAUUCUAACGUCCAAAGACACUACACUUUUCCAGUUAAAAAUUUAAAAUCCUGUGAAUUUGGGCAGUUUAUAAUUGGUAGGCAUGCAAAGACCGUCCAUUAGCGUGAUAUUCAUGUUUAUACAUUUAAGCAGCCUUGUAAUAAGUAUUAUUUAUUGUUGGUUUCAAGCAGACACAUACCAUAUUAAUUUUAACCUAAGAAAACUGAAUGAACGAGUGAAACUGUGUAUAAUCAUUAAAUGAAACACAUUGUGGUACACUACUGAUGCAACAAUUGUUAGUGUUAGUAUAUUAUUGCUAAAACCAUCAUCGAGUCCACAGUAAACCAGAAUGGCGUCAUUUUUUAAAAUGGUACAGGCAUUACAGUCACAGUUAUCCAAUAAGGACCAAUCUCGUACAAACAGGUACGUUUCGUUAAUUAUAAAAUUGUAUUUUACAUAUUAUCUUAAUUAAAAUUGCGUUAAAGGUAUUUUAUUUGGUUUUGGUGAUGUGACGGCUCAAAUUCUCGUAGAAAAGCGGAAACUUACUGAAAUCGAUUGGUUACGUACAGUGUGAUACGAAUCUAUUGGAUGUGCAGUUGGACCAACAUUUAGUGUGUGGUAUAGAAAACUGGUCCGGUUUGGAACUAAAACACAAUACCCAUUUUUGCAAAAAAAAUAGAUCAAUUGGUCGCAUCACCUAUUAUUAAUGGUAGUGUGUUAAUUAUAAGUAAAAUAAUUAGUGGAGAUGAAUGGCCAGCGAUACAAACAAAAUUAGAAGACAAUUAUGUGACUGUUAUGCUAACUAGUUAUUUGGUAAAUCUUUGAAAUCAAUUAGUUUUUUGGUAACUGUUUCAUAGUUUUCUUAUCUAUCAUUUUGUGUAGGUAUGGCCAGCCGUACAAACGGUUAACUUCACUGUUGUUCCACCACAGUUUNCGGUG